GAUUUGAACCCUUCAACACAUUGUGAACCGUGGCUCCGGCCCAAACUUGAAUGUAAUGAAUGUAUAAAACACAAACAAAAUAUAACUUUUAACAACGGAUCUCUUGGCUCU
rnacentral:misc_RNA from 1 species